rnacentral:rRNA from 1 species
AUGAACGCUGGCGGCGUGCCUAAUACAUGCAAGUCGAGCGAACAGACGAGGAGCUUGCUCCUCUGACGUUAGCGGCGGACGGGUGAGUAACACGUGGAUAACCUACCUAUAAGACUGGGAUAACUUCGGGAAACCGGAGCUAAUACCGGAUAAUAUAUUGAACCGCAUGGUUCAAUAGUGAAAGACGGUUUUGCUGUCACUUAUAGAUGGAUCCGCGCCGCAUUAGCUAGUUGGUAAGGUAACGGCUUACCAAGGCAACGAUGCGUAGCCGACCUGAGAGGGUGAUCGGCCACACUGGAACUGAGACACGGUCCAGACUCCUACGGGAAGCAGCAGUAGGGAAUCUUCCGCAAUGGGCGAAAGCCUGACGGAGCAACGCCGCGUGAGUGAUGAAGGUCUUCGGAUCGUAAAACUCUGUUAUUAGGGAAGAACAAAUGUGUAAGUAACUAUGCACGUCUUGACGGUACCUAAUCAGAAAGCCACGGCUAACUACGUG